CAUGCNAGUCGAACGCUUCUUUUCCCACCGGAGCUUGCUCCACCGGGAAAAGAGGAGUGGCGAACGGGUGAGUAACACGUGGGUAACCUGCCCAUCAGAAGGGGAUAACACUUGGAAACAGGUGCUAAUACCGUAUAACAAUCGAAACCGCAUGGUUUCGUUUUGAAAGGCGCUUUACGGUGCCGCUGAUGGAUGGACCCGCGGUGCAUUAGCUAGUUGGUGAGGUAACGGCUCACCAAGGCCACGAUGCAUAGCCGACCUGAGAGGGUGAUCGGCCACAUUGGGACUGAGACACGGCCCAAACUCCUACGGGAGGCAGCAGUAGGGAAUCUUCGGCAAUGGACGAAAGUCUGACCGAGCAACGCCGCGUGAGUGAAGAAGGUUUUCGGAUCGUAAAACUCUGUUGUUAGAGAAGAACAAGGGUGAGAGUAACUGUUCACCCCUUGACGGUAUCUAACCAGAAAGCCACGGCUAACUACGUGCCAGCAGCCGCGGUAAUACGUAGGUGGCAAGCGUUGUCCGGAUUUAUUGGGCGUAAAGCGAGCGCAGGCGGUUUCUUAAGUCUGAUGUGAAAGCCCCCGGCUCAACCGGGGAGGGUCAUUGGAAACUGGGAGACUUGAGUGCAGAAGAGGAGAGUGGAAUUCCAUGUGUAGCGGUGAAAUGCGUAGAUAUAUGGAGGAACACCAGUGGCGAAGGCGGCUCUCUGGUCUGUAACUGACGCUGAGGCUCGAAAGCGUGGGGAGCAAACAGGAUUAGAUACCCUGGUAGUCCACGCCGUAAACGAUGAGUGCUAAGUGUUGGAGGGUUUCCGCCCUUCAGUGCUGCAGCUAACGCAUUAAGCACUCCGCCUGGGGAGUACGACCGCAAGGUUGAAACUCAAAGGAAUUGACGGGGGCCCGCACAAGCGGUGGAGCAUGUGGUUUAAUUCGAAGCAACGCGAAGAACCUUACCAGGUCUUGACAUCCUUUGACCACUCUAGAAAUAGAGCUUCCCCUUCGGGGGCAAAGUGACAGGUGGUGCAUGGUUGUCGUCAGCUCGUGUCGUGAGAUGUUGGGUUAAGUCCCGCAACGAGCGCAACCCUUAUUGUUAGUUGCCAUCAUUUAGUUGGGCACUCUAGCAAGACUGCCGGUGACAAACCGGAGGAAGGUGGGGAUGACGUCAAAUCAUCAUGCCCCUUAUGACCUGGGCUACACACGUGCUACAAUGGGAAGUACAACGAGUCGCGAAGUCGCGAGGCUAAGCUAAUCUCUUAAAGCUUCUCUCAGUUCGGAUUGUAGGCUGCAACUCGCCUACAUGAAGCCGGAAUCGCUAGUAAUCGCGGAUCAGCACGCCGCGGUGAAUACGUUCCCGGGCCUUGUACACACCGCCCGUCACACCACGAGAGUUUGUAACACCCGAAGUCGGUGAGGUAACCUUUUGGAGCCAGCCGCCUAAG
rnacentral:rRNA from 1 species